CUAUUAUAUCAGGCAGGGUAUGAUAUGAUACUGAUAUACCCUGGCUUCAAUGGCCUGGAGGCAGGAUGAGUCAUGACAUUUUUCAGCGUACAACAAGGUGCCCCAAGAUGAACUCAAAGAAAAACGUGGCUGGCUGCAUGCAACAUAGAGGAGGUUGUCAUGGGUACUGGUAUUUGUGCCAAACACUUCAGCCCAACCAGCUACAUCGCCCAAGCUCCUCUCGAUUCAGAUUCAGAUUCAGAGUUUACAACGCUGUCCCUACGCUUUUGUGUCAACCCACGAGAUCCCAGCGAACAUUUACUCCAGUGCCAUGAACUUCAACAGCACCUGAUCACAUAUCUGCUGAGCCUGGCACUUCGGGACUGUCUCCACAUCUACCACGGACACCAGGGUCAGUGCAAUGCUAGGGAAUUGUAAUGUUUAAACCGCUUAUCAGUAUGAACAGGGUGUAACGAUAGUAUCGGGACAUCUAUUUUCUUUUCGCCAUAUCUGUUUGCACUUUGCACAGUUUCUCUUAUGAUGACAAAAAUGGGAAUAUUGAAUGAAUACGUGCUUCUGGUAUCGGUUUUCAACUCAGCAGUGACCUGACCUUGCGA